UUUUAUUUAUUAUUCACACAUAUCGACACAUCUGCCGGGGUGCUCAGUUACUUAUUUUAAGUAACAAUGGCAAUUACGCUGUUAUCGGGUCGGUUUUAAGAUGGGAUAUGUGGACGCCUAAC
rnacentral:sRNA from 1 species